UAAAGAGUUCAGCAUCUCUCAGUCAACUAGGUACCACGAUGGCAAGAACCAAACAGCAGGGUGAGAGUAAGCAGUUGUGCUCCAGGCAUGGGACACCGGUGGAGCAGCAUCCACUGGGAAGUCAGCAGAGCUCGCAAAUAGAAAUCGUUAGAUUUCCCUGAAGAACUUCCUAACAACCAGUUCUGUGAAACAACAUGUGCUAAUCAAUGUUUGAUUAAAUGGGAGAAAAAAAAAAUUCCCCAUAGGCAACCUUAGGGGAGAGUAACAUUGGCUCUCAGUCAUUGGAACUGAUUCUGAGGAUGCAUCGGCAUGCAGCAUGCUGUGUCACAACACAACAUCCAGCUAUUUGAAAAAACAUCAAAUACACAAAUCAGCAUGCAAAAUAAAUGAAUGUAAUAGGAA
rnacentral:lncRNA from 1 species